rnacentral:rRNA from 1 species
UACGAAGGGGGCUAGCGUUGUUCGGAAUCACUGGGCGUAAAGCGCACGUAGGCGGAUUGUUAAGUCAGGGGUGAAAUGCCAAGGCUCAACCUUGGAACUGCCUUUGAUACUGGCAAUCUCGAGUCCGGGAGAGGUGAGUGGAACUGCGAGUGUAGAGGUGAAAUUCGUAGAUAUUCGCAAGAACACCAGUGGCGAAGGCGGCUCACUGGCCCGGUACUGACGCUGAGGUGCGAAAGCUAGGGGAGCGAACGGG